rnacentral:rRNA from 1 species
CCAGACUCCUACGGGAGGCAGCAGUGAGGAAUAUUGGUCAAUGGGCGAGAGCCUGAACCAGCCAAGUCGCGUGAGGGAAGACGGUCCUAUGGAUUGUAAACCUCCUUUGUCGGGGAGCAAAAAGGCCUCGUGAGGCCACAAGUGAGAGUACCCGAAGAAAAAGCAUCGGCUAACUCCGUGCCAGCAGCCGCGGUAAUACGGAGGAUGCGAGCGUUAUCCGGAUUUAUUGGGUUUAAAGGGAGCGUAGAUGGGUUGUUAAGUCAGUUGUGAAAGUUUGCGGCUCAACCGUAAAAUUGCAAUUGAUACUGGCAGCCUUGAGUACAGUUGAGGUAGGCGGAAUUCGUGGUGUAGCGGUGAAAUGCUUAGAUAUCACGAAGAACUCCGAUUGCGAAGGCAGCUUACUAAACUAUAACUGACACUGGAGCACGAAAGCGUGGGGAUCAAACAGGAUUAGAUACCCCUGUA